CAGUGUUAUUUAGAUAAUGGCCGGGCAUGGCUAAUCGUACUGCCAACAGGUGUGUUAUUGCGUGUCUGGUUAUUCUUUAGACAUAUCGGUCACGCAGGUCUGUAUUAAUGUCCUGCUGAUAUUGUAGUAUUGAGUAUUCAUCUUUGGAGUACAUUUGUGCCAGUGUAGUGUGUGACAUUAUUGUUGUAAGGUUUUGUGUUUUCUUUGCAAGCCGUAAGUAGGAAUCCCAAACCCUACUGAAAAUGUGUAACAGUUCUAUGGAUACUUCUGUACACAGUCAGCGAAUACCAGUCGGUUUGUGGUAAAAACAAUUACACAUCCAUGUGAAAAUGAAUUAUGGUCACGGCUUAGCUCAACAGUUCAAAGUGAUUUCGGGUACACAUCGCUGUGUUUGAAAAUACUUCCAUGCACGAAGUGGGCAGCACUUUAAUCUGCUAAAGGAAGGUUUCCAUCUUGACAAUUCACAGUUAGGCUAUCCUAAAAGUUUAUAUAAGGACCAUGAGGAUGUGUAGAGACAUACAUAAAGGUAUGGAGAAGAAGAUCAGGUCAUUGCCACACGAAGCGGAGGAUAUAGACGAUAUCCCAGAUGAACUUCGCAAUGAUGACUUGCUGACCAUGUCUCCCGACGGCAAGGAUCAUCCCCCGCCAUCAAUGCAUAUGGCGCUGAGUGAGAGUCGAAUUCAGGGUACACGGAGCAUGAAGCAUCUUUUGAACCACCACGAGGUCUUCAGGGUCAGGAAGCCUCUCUUUAACAUAGACGGGAGAAGUGAAAGUUUUCUAGCCAAGAACUGGUCGGGACCUUGCAUCAUGACGAUGGCUGAGGCAGGCUUUUAUUUCUCUGACAACAAGAUUGCCUCUUGCUCGUUUUGUGACGUGUCCAUCCGAGGCUGGCUGGCCCACCACUGUCCCUGGGCCCGCCACAAAGCCUUCUCACCUUUCUGUGCACACCUGCGGCGCAAGGGAGAGCGUGGCAUUCGCCCCUCGGCUUCUGGCAAAAGGACUAGACAUGACUCACUUUCGUCGUUGGAGGAGUUGAAGGCUGGAUGCGGUUAUGAUUAAAGCCCGGAUGUCGAGAGACCAUGAAAGAAUCAGAUCCAGUUCCUGCUGCUGAUAAGGCCAGUCACAGAAACCCAGUUCUGUACACUGCAUGCUUACUCAACGAUUCAAGUGUACUCUCUUCGAUGGAAUUCUUGAAACAGUUCAUCAUUGUGCUUUCUUACUGGAUCCUACACAUGCAAUUGAAAUGAGAAUUUAUUCGUACACAUUCCGUUCCCAGCAGUUCGCCAGGCUGGCAUUUGCUGUCACCCCAUUCCGAUGGUCACAUUUGGAUUGAUAACCAGAGCAACCAAAGAUGUUCACCUACUCCUGCGACCGUAAGAUCACGUGACUACCUUUUUUUAACUUAAAAAACCUGUGCUUAAGCAAGCUUAAACAUUUAUGCUUAUCUCGCGUAUUCCAGGGUGUGGAUUGUCAGGGUUUUUUUGAGACAACUGCACUCCACACAAAGUAUUAGCUAGCAGAAGACUUUCCAUCGGCUCAGACUGAUACUUACCUGUGUUAACGUGCUUUCAGCUUUAUAAAUUACUUACGGAUGCUCCUUUGUGCUUUGCUUAAAUGUACAUGUAGAAAGGUUUCUGACCAUCGAUGCACUACGGUGUUCAUAGCUCUAUUUUUGCGGAUUUCUUGCUUUGCUUUAAAUUGUGCAAUAUAUAACAUACUGCAUAAUAAGUCAAAUUUGAAGAAAUCAAUUAGUGUGAACACAGACUGUACAAACUGUAACUAGACUGAGGCAUAUCAUAAAUACAUGACUAAGGAGGGUUUUGCUUCAAAGAAAUUCAAAAUCCACAAAUCUUGUCAAAAAAGUAUUCAUAAUGUUAUGUUUAGUGAAAACCUUUUGCUAGUCAACGUACAUUCCAGUAAAAAUUUUCUAUACAUGUGUAUCUAUAAUAUGAGAAAUUCCUUUAGACUUGUAUUGUUAUAAAUAGUCAUAAAUGCAGGAUGUGCAUUAUAGCAGCAAUUUAUUGUUCAUCUUGAAAAGGAACGGAAGGUUCCACUCAAUGUAAGAAAAUUCAGUAAAUUAUUGGUAGGACACUUUAUAAUAACUUUUGUAAAAAAAGAAAGGGUAUGUUAGUAUUUUUCCCCAGUUCAUUUUGCUUCUUUUGGCAAUUUUGCACUUUGGCAGUCGUAGCUAAUCUAUGUAUACAUAAAAUUCGAGCUUCAGAGAGUCAAUCAUUGAUAUAGAGCAGACUUAAAAUACUGAAACUUCAAUGUUACCUUCAGACAGCCAAUUGGUGUCUUGGUUUUAAACUUACCUCUUUUAAACUCUUCUCAUGGCUACAGCACCUAAUGCAUCUUUUAUCUAAUUAUUACAUUCAAAACAUUGAGUGUAAUCUACUGUAAUAAUAAUUUAACACAUACAUUUUCAUAGAUAUUUUUUAUAAACUGUCAUGACAUUUCGAAAGGUAUAAUAAUUGCAGCUAACAUUUUACUGAGUGUGGCUAUUCAACUUUAAAUAAUCAAAUGAGCUGAAAGAACAUCCGCUAUGUACUUUUGCCUUCACUGAAAACAUAAAUGGAUUAGAGAUGUAACUAAUAUUUUUUGAACUACCUUGAGCAGUUAUUCCAAUUUAUAUCAGGAGAAAAGAUCGUAAAUGUAGGAUGAUGUUUCACUGGUCAAAACUAAAGGGAAUUUAGAAAUGGCAGGAAGGUUUGAUGUACUCUACCUCUGACAUUUUGAAGUGGCUUCUUUUAACGAGAAAUUUUUAUUUUAUAUUACUUUUAAAAUGUUGAUGUGUCUUAAAUAUUAACUUCACAUUGAGAAAUGCAUGAAUUGUAUAAACUGUUACAUAAUAUGCAACUGUUAUCUAUUUUGAUGGUUACACAGGUAUUUUAGCUGUUUUCUGUAGUUGUUAACAUACUUGUUGCAGACUGUUAUAAUAGAUAACAGCUCCACAGCUAAUUGAUCUCUAGUCGCUGUAAUGAUGGCAAUGGAAGGUGGAAGCUAAUCUUUAUCUUUCCCCGUCUUUAACUUUUCUGCUCAAUCAUGGCUCAUCUGUUGGGUGUGUGCACAUUCCUCUAAAGUUUUACCCAGUUAUAAUUCCAUAGUUACUCGUCUGCUGAUAAGCGACAGUUUGUGUUAUUUACUAAUUUUUGCAAACCGUAAAUAAUUUCAUUGCCUCGAUUUGAAGAUUGGUCCUAGUUCAGGGUCCUUUGACAGCAACAGUGUUAGGAGACAAACUCGUGACCUAUCUUAUCCACCUUGUGUUACAGAAUGUAUUUUAAUGUAACAAACAUUGUAUUAGUUUCUACUUUAUACGAGUUUUGAAGUCUUGUUCAAAUGUACAUUAAAUGUUUGAGCGACUUUAAUAUACGAUUUGAAUUAGCUUUUUGUAGUGUCACGUAGUGGGGAAAUAUCAGUCGCAAGAGGACUCUUAGGGAAGGAAAGAGGGGAGUAUGUGCAAGUGUAGAGGUGUAAUAGGAGGUAGGAACGCAGAGAUGUUAUAAGUGGGAGACAGCCCUAAGUGGUUACAGCAGCCAAGCGCGACCAGCCAGUUGGUGACGUCUAUGACGAGGGUGACACCUCGGGGGCUUUCACACCUGUCCUCCAGGUUGAUGGGAAGUUGAAGUUAGUCACCUGUCCACUACACCAAUGCAGGCUGGGCGGAGCUUCAGUAAGGUGGUGGUGCUCUCGUCGAUGCUGGCUACUUGAUUAGUUGAUGAGUGACCAUGGCAUCCCUUGGUGUAUGUGACGUGCGAAAGUACAAUAGGUAAGGGAGAACCAGGAGGACACUUCUCGGCAUGAUGCCAGAGUGGACUGGUCAGUAGUCGAAGCGACUUCAGCAUCUCUAACACCAACUACACUUGUACUUCGAGACCGGGAGGGCGAGACUUGGGAAUCUUGAGCAAGGGCGCGAACCAGCGUCGAACUCUCGUCACGGAAAGCAAAGGGCUACGUGACCAGGGCUUGCAUUGAUCUCCACCAAACCACCACCGAGAACAGCUUUUAGCAUCAGAGCUAGGUUGAAACCUCCAGACGAGCCUUGUAUGUAUUGUUUAUGUUAAUUAUGUUAUUAAACCAUUUCUAUUUACAU
rnacentral:misc_RNA from 1 species